rnacentral:lncRNA from 1 species
CCUGCCCGAAAGGGCAGAGAGGCUGUUUCCAGUCGACCCUCGGCGUAUAGGAUAAAAAAGGGAGAGCUGCAUUAAGAAACAAAGGUAAAAUUAGAAACACAAGCAAGACAAAACAAAAUAAUAAAGCACAAGUACUCCCGUAGAAACAACGUAAAUAAUUCUGGAAACAUAAGCAACAUAAAUACAGUCGCAUGCAAUA